AUUUAUUCUAAAUUGUUGUUGGUACUUGACGUAGGUUCUGCAGUUCAUGAUAACUGUAGAGCUGUUCUUGUUGGGGAGAGGACUUUUGGAAAGGGUCUAAUUCAAUCUGUCUUUGAACUUCGUGAUGGAUCUGGGGUGGUUGUCAAUGUUCACUGUUGGAAAGUAUGCGACACCAAAAUCAUUUGGACAUCAAUGGCAAUGGAAUAGAACCUGACUGUACAAACUUCCCAGCUUGGAGCGAUAUUGCACAGCAUCUGUCAAGAUGCUAUUCGCUUCGACAAGGCUGGAAACAGUUAGAUGGAGGUAUGAUCUGGAUUUUCUUGCCCUGUAGGUGCAC